UGCCAGCAUCCGCUGUACUCCUGAUGGUGCAAGCGUUAAUCGGAAUUACUGGGCGUAAAGCGCGCGUAGGUGGUUGUUUAAGUCAGAUGUGAAAGCCCUGGGCUUAACCUAGGAACUGCAUUUGAUACUGGGCAACUAGAGUAUGGUAGAGGGAAGUGGAAUUCCACAUGUAGCGGUGAAAUGCGUAGAGAUGUGGAGGAACACCAGUGGCGAAGGCGACUUCCUGGAUCAAUACUGACACUGAGGUGCGAAAGCGUGGGGAGCAAACAGGAUUAGAUA
rnacentral:rRNA from 1 species